rnacentral:tRNA from 1 species
AAAGCAAGGGUGUAGUGUACACCUUGUUGUGGGCCGAAACCACAAUACUAUUAGUUUCUUGCUU